CAAGUAAACAACAAGUCAACAAGUCAACAACAAGUCAACAAGUCUACAACAAAUGGAGAAAGAAAUCGGGGAAACGACACUUUCCCUGACAUUAAAUAUUUCAAAAUCAAAGUCGUCUCACAUGUUUCGAACAUCCUGCUUUAAAACAUGUGAUCCACAAAUGUGACUGAGAAACCGUCUGAGUAUCUUCACCAUCUCACUUAUUAUCCAUUUACUCUGAAGAUAAACAGGCUGAAAUCAAUGUAAUUAAAGUUCCUGCGAAGUUUCUCUUUGUCGUUUGUCUCAGGAUGUUUUCAAACUUUCACUUUUGUUUUUUUCUCCAUCCUGUAAAAAGUUAUUCUGCGUGUUUUAAAAAAACUUUGAAGACUGUUCUUAUAAGACUGAGUACUACAAGUAAUGAGUAAAAUAAGUACUUGCUUCAUUAAAUACUUUAGUGAGUACGUCAGUAUUUGAGUAGUAUGUGCGUAGGAAUAAUUACUUAGUAAAGACUUUUUAAAAUACUGAGGAUCCUAGACACAGGAUUCUUUGGUCCGAUCACGUGGU